ACUACUCUAGUGGUUAUCUCAGUCCAAAGACUCAUUAUUCUAGCAGUUCACUUUUUUGUUAUUAGGAUUUAAAUUGUAAGUAAAAAAAACCGAUAAGAUCGUUAAACCGUUGUGGCUUCUGAAGAAAAUAAUUUUCAAGCAAGUUCGUAUUGAAUAUUGAAUUCGAAUAUGUUUUCGAGUUGCUUGGUUGCUGCUGUCUUUUUGUUACAUUAUGCUUCUACGAACCCAGUGAAAGGAUACGUUGCAGUAACAUACUCUCUUAGCAAUGACGUGGUAAUUGAAACUUUGCCAAGUUUACAGCUAUAAAAAUUUGGAGAGCAGCUGUAAUAUUUUGGAGCUAUUUAUAAGAUAUAACCUAAACUACCAUCCUGAUUUUGUCAUAUCUACAAUAGAUAAAAGAUUGACCUUCAAAAGGGAUAUCUAAUGAAGUUUAGCAUUAAUACCCAGAUGAAAAUUGAUUGCGUUAUUUUUA